GAAAAUCGCAGUAGCUCUUAUCGUGGUGGGAAGGCGCAUGGGCAGGAUGGUUUAACCAUCCGGCGACAGCCACCCAUGCGCUAGACGAAGGCUCCCACAGGGGCCUUUUUUUAUGCCCGAAA
rnacentral:sRNA from 3 species